AUUGCACGCUGGCGGCAGGCCUAACACAUGCAAGUCGCGCGGAUCGGCGGACGUGUGAGGAAUGCCUAGGACUGUGCCCGGUAGUGGGGGAUAACGUUCGGACAAGUGCAGUAAUCACGCAUCCUAUCGGAUGAGCCUUGGUCGGGUGAGCUAGUUGGGGGGGUAAAGGCGUACCAAGGAGACGAUCCGUAACUGGUCUGAGAGGAUGAUCAGUCACACUGGAACUGAGACACGGUCCAGACGCCGACGGGAGGCAGUAGUGGGGAAUAUUGGACAAGGGGCGAAAGCCUGAUACAGCCAUGCCGCGUGUGGGAAGAAGGUCUUCGGAUUGUAAAGCACUUUAAGUUGGGAGGCGUUACCAACAGAAUAAGCACCGGCUAACUUCGUGCCAGCAGCCGCGGUAAUUC
rnacentral:rRNA from 1 species